rnacentral:rRNA from 1 species
GCUGGCGGCGUGCUUAACACAUGCAAGUCGAGCGGAAAGGCCCUUCGGGGUACUCGAGCGGCGAACGGGUGAGUAACACGUGAGCAACCUGCCCCUGGCUCUGGGAUAAGCCUAGGAAACUGGGUCUAAUACCGGAUGUGACCGUUGCCCGCAUGGGUGGUGGUGGAAAGUUUUUUCGGCUGGGGAUGGGCUCGCGGCCUAUCAGCUUGUUGGUGGGGUAGUGGCCUACCAAGGCGACGACGGGUAGCCGGCCUGAGAGGGCGACCGGCCACACUGGGACUGAGACACGGCCCAGACUCCUACGGGAGGCAGCAGUGGGGAAUAUUGCGCAAUGGGCGGAAGCCUGACGCAGCGACGCCGCGUGGGGGAUGAAGGCCUUCGGGUUGUAAACCUCUUUCAGCAUCCACGAAGUUCCGGUAUUCGCCGGGGUGACGGUAGGUGCAGAAGAAGCGCCGGCUAACUACGUGCCAGCAGCCGCGGUAAUACGUAGGGCGCAAGCGUUGUCCGGAAUUAUUGGGCGUAAAGAGCUCGUAGGCGGCCUGUCGCGUCCGUCGUGAAAGCCCGGGGCUUAACUCCGGGUCUGCGGUGGAUACGGGCAGGCUAGAGGCAGGUAGGGGAGAAUGGAAUUCCCGGUGUAGCGGUGAAAUGCGCAGAUAUCGGGAGGAACACCGGUGGCGAAGGCGGUUCUCUGGGCCUGUACUGACGCUGAGG